CGGCGACGUUGAUUCUGACCUUGAGGGGAACCAGCCCGGCUGUCACAACGCAUUUUUACUGCGCAUCACAGGUAUUCAAACUUUCAGUCCACGUGUCUUCGGUCAGGAGCGGAACACCAUAUGCCCCAAUUGAUGUCAGACUAACUCCCUGGAUGCCCACCAUACAGUGCUGUACCAGGGCCCCACAAGGAACUGUGCUGGUACAGUACCAUUCCUCUUCAUACUAACUGCAGUUUUCUCCAUCAAAUCCCCACGCUGCCAUUUUCAUAAGUUAUCUGAUGACUCUGCCAUAGUCAGCCUCAUUAUAGGCGAGGAUGACUCAGAGUCCAGACAGUGGACUCAGGACUUUGUAGACUGGUACCAGUGGGCUUCCUAAUCAGUGCUGCUAAAAAUAUGGAGCUGGUGGUGGAUUUCCUCAGGCGCAGACCCACCAAAAUGACACCAGUGAACAUCCAGGGAACGGAUGUUAAAAUAGUGAAGUCUUAUAAGUACCUGAGUGUUCAUCUGAACACUAAACUGGACUGGACUCAUGACAUUGAUGCUCUUCACAGGAAGGGUCAGAGCAGACUCUAUCUGCUGAGGGAAAGUGAGAUUUUUUUGAAGAGUAGGUGUCACUUCUGAAGACAUUUUUGUCUCUGUGGUCGCAUCAGCCACCUACUGUAGUAUGUUGGAGCAACAGCUUAUCUACAGCUGACAGGAAGUGGUUAGAUAAGCUCAUCAUGAAGGCCAGCUCUGUUCCAAGAUGUCCCCUCUACCCAUUGCAGGUACUGGAGAUAGAGCGCCUCUGGCUAUCACUGGUGAAGAAUGACACCCACUCUUCAUGAAGUUGUUGCUAAACUGGAGAGCAGCAUCAGUUACAGACUGCUGCAUCUCCGGUGAAAGGAGUGUUGUCGUAGCUCCUUCUGCCCAGUACCUGUUAGACUUUAUAACGAUAACUGCUCCCAUCAAAUUUAAUAGGUCAUUGGACAAUCAUUGCAAAUUGUUACUUCACAACAGUUUUUACCAUUUAAGGAAUAUUUCGAAGUCGCGAGCUAUUUUAUCACAGAAGGAAUUAGAAAUGAUUGUCCAUGCUUUUAUUUCUUCUCGUUUAGACUAUUGUAACGGCCCUUUAGUGGGGAUAAGUAAAUCCCCCAUGGCUUGCCUUCAGUCUGUGCAAAACGCUGCAGCCAGGCUUUUAACUAGAACCCACAGAACAGAUCACAUAACUCCUGUUCUGGCCUCUUUGCACUGGCUCCCGGUGUAUUUUAGGACUCAUUUUAAAAUUUUGGUUUUAACUUUUAAAGCACUUCCUGGUGAGGCUCCCAAAUAUAUAUUGGACCUUUUGAAGCCUCUCUGUCCGUCUAGGACUCUGAGGUCUUCUAAUCAGAUGCUGCUGUCGGUUCCCAGAACUCAUUUUAAAACCUGUGGUGACAGAGCAUUUCAGGAGGUGGCCCCGAGGCUCUGGAACGCUCUGCCUCUAUCAAUGCGCUGCUCCGAGUCAACUGACACAUUUAAAAAAUUGAGAAAUUGAGAUAGACUUAUCUCUUCAGACUGACUUUUGGUUAAUUUUGUUCAUUGAUUUCAGAUUCUUUUAUUGUUGAUGUGUUUCCUUUUUUGUAAAACACUUUGUGAUUUUUAUGUCUGUGAAAGGUGCUAUGUAAAUAAAGUUUACAUACUUACUUACACUUUGUUGCACCUGAAUUUGCCCUCUUAGGGAAAAUGUAUAAUAAAAUAUAAUAAUAUUUUUACUCUA